rnacentral:piRNA from 1 species
UGUCAGUGAGCCUGAAGCAGCAGAUAGU